GGUGAUGGGUGAGUAAUACAUCGGAACGUGCCUAGUUGUGGGGGAUAACUACUCGAAAGAGUGGCUAAUACCGCAUGAGAUCUAUGGAUGAAAGCUUGGGAGCUUCGGGCCUUGUGCUACUAGAGCGGCCGAUGGCAGAUUAGGUAGUUGGUGGGAUAAAAGCUUACCAAGCCAGCGAUCUGUAGCUGGUCUGAGAGGACGAUCAGCCACACUGGGACUGAGACACGGCCCAGACUCCUACGGGAGGCAG
rnacentral:rRNA from 1 species